CCUACGGGAGGCAGCAGUGAGGAAUAUUGGUCAAUGGACGAGAGUCUGAACCAGCCAAGUAGCGUGAAGGAUGACUGCCCUAUGGGUUGUAAACUUCUUUUAUAUGGGAAUAAAAUGUUCCACGUGUGGGAUUUUGUAUGUACCAUAUGAAUAAGGAUCGGCUAACUCCGUGCCAGCCGCCGCGGUACUACGGAGGAUCCGAGCGUUAUCCGGAUUUAUUGGGUUUAAAGGGAGCGUAGGUGGAUUGUUAAGUCAGUUGUGAAAGUUUGCGGCUCAACCGUAAAAUUGCAGUUGAAACUGGCAGUCUUGAGUACAGUAGAGGUGGGCGGAAUUCGUGGUGUAGCGGUGAAAUGCUUAGAUAUCACGAAGAACUCCGAUUGCGAAGGCAGCUCACUGGACUGCAACUGACACUGAGGCUCGAAAGUGUGGGUAUCAAACAGGAUUAGAUACCCUAGUAGUC
rnacentral:rRNA from 1 species